rnacentral:lncRNA from 1 species
UUUCGAUUAAUACCAGUCUCAAAUUCAAUGGAUGAACAACCUCAACCUACUAAACCAUAUAUAUAAACCAUAACCCUACCCGAACUAAGUAUUCCUAGAAUCCUGCUUCUUUUUCACAGUUUAAAACACAAGAACUUCUUUUAACCUCAAAUUGGAGCUGACUUGAACAAAAUUAUACAAGUAUAUAUCAAGAUCUUCAAGUUUCUUAGACUAUUGCCUCUUCGUAUUUCCUCUUUUUUUUGUUAAAAAAUAAACCUCCUAUAGAGUGUCUUCAACGGUGGAAAUUUAGGAAAUCUAAGUUAUUAAAAAAUAUAUAUUUCCCUUUAUACAAGUACAACAAAUAGGUUUAAUUAAGUUGUUG